CAUACGAAUUGUGUUCUUUCCUAACCUAUGUAUUAAAUCAAGUUUAUGCCAAGUAGUAGAAAAUAUUGUUAAGUUUGUUCUUGUCGUUUUAUUUUGUUGUAUUAUACGUGUUGUAUACGUUUGUAAAAUGACUAUGUGUUGAAUAAAUCUGGGUUUUUCAUAUUAUUUAAGCUCGUUUUAGUUAAGUGUUUAUGUGGACCGACUAUGGAGAGGUAUGAUGAGUGGCGAUUCAACCAGUGACGAUACAAGCUCGAGUGAACAAUCCGCAACCACAACCACUUGCACCUCGCCCAGUUUCUACCAAGACUCAACAUCAUAUUCCUCACAAGAUGUCAGCUCCAGUCGAGCCACUACAGUUCCAGGCUCUCUGCAAUGUUACAGCGGCUUUUCAACAAGCAGAGACAAUGAUAUUUAUGUGACUUUCAAUAAUAUCAAAAGCCCCGGAAUCUGAUGCGGAAAUCAAGCCGAAACCGAAGAAAUCAGCAGCAUCCAGUAAGUGUACGAGUGCCCAAAGGAAGAAGAAGAAGAAAAAGAAAGCCACAAUAUGCACAACUUAUUGCAAGUACGACAUAAUCCGGCGUAUCGCCUCCAAUCUGGGAAUGCGCGAGGUGGGCGAGCGGGACCUAUGGAACUUGAUGUGGACAGACUGUUUUAUCUCUGUGGAACGGGCCAAGGAGAUGCGAAGAUUCCAGAAAGUCAACCAUUUUCCUGGCAUGUCAGAAAUAUGCCGCAAAGACCUACUGG